UACGUAGGAGACGAGCGUUGUCCGGAAUCACUGGGCGUAAAGCGCGUGUAGGCGGAUCGGCAAGUCUGCUGUGAAAGCUCCUGGCUUAACCGGGAGUGGUCGGUGGAAACUGCCAGUCUGGAGGACGGUAGAGGUAGGUAGAAUUCCCGGUGUAGUGGUGAAAUGCGUAGAGAUCGGGAGGAAUACCUGUGGCGAAGGCAGGUCUCUGGGCAUUAACUGACGCUGAGGAGCGAAAGCAUGGGGAGCGAACAGG
rnacentral:rRNA from 1 species